UUUGUUGGACGCUAGCGGCGGAUGGGUGAGUAACACGUGGGCAAUCUGCCCUAAAGACUGGGAUACCACUUGGAAACAGGUGCUAAUACCGGAUAACAACAUGAAUCGCAUGAUUCAAUUUUGAAAGGCGGCGUAAGCUGUCACUUUAGGAUGAGCCCGCGGCGCAUUAGCUAGUUGGUGGGGUAAAGGCCUACCAAGGCAAUGAUGCGUAGCCGAGUUGAGAGACUGAUCGGCCACAUUGGGACUGAGACACGGCCCAGACUCC
rnacentral:rRNA from 1 species